AAUAAUCAAAUACAAAUGAUGAAUAAAAGACUUACGCGAUCAUAGCCACCUAAUUUGAUUACAAAUCUUUAUGACCUAACGCGGAACAUAAGAAGACCUAAUAUGUACCAGGAACAAAGAUGAAAAUAAAAGGACUCAAUGAUAAAGCAAUAAUACACUUACUUUAGGUAAUUAACCUGAUAACCAUAAAACUUAAGUGGUUUAAAUUCCAUCACCUUCUCCCAGAAAAAUGUUCCUAGUUUUCCUAAAAUUGCAGCUUGAUCCUCAUAAGGAGCCUCAUAAUCCUCACCAUCAACAAUCUAAAAUUUAAAAACAAAUGAUCAUAUUGAAAAAAGCAAAGAAAUUAUAAUCACAUAUGUAGAUCAAUCAUCCCCCAAGGGCGAUAUACCAUUGGGGGCUGAUUGAUCUAUUGAUGUGGUUACAAUUGCUUCACUUUCUCAAAAUGAUAAUUUAUUUUAAAAUUUUAGAUAGAUGAUGAUGAGGAUGAUCAACAAACCCCUAGGGAUCAAGAUGCAUUUUUAGGAAAAACAAGGAACAUUUUACCAGGAGAAAGCGAUGUUAUGGAGAUCUUUGAUCAGAUAGGUGGCUACGAUCUGGUAAGCGAUGAGUGGGUUCACUUUGAUUACUCUAACGUGGUACCAUGGGGGUGUGUUAGAUUUAAGUAGUGGGGAACCAAUAUAUAAUGGUGGAAAAGUUACAGAAUUUUUGGAUGUUGAUGUAGAUAGAAUGUCAUAUUUUGAGUUGAAAGGCUAUAUUCGAGAAAUGGGAUAUAGUACAACUUGCACCUUUAGUAUUAAAGCACCUAACUAUGGCAUUUUGAUAUAUGAUGAUAAUGAUAAGGAUAUUUUAGACAUGAUGUGUUCCCUGGAAGAUGGGGAUGAAGUGGAGAUAUUUGCUUGACAUUUGAUUGAUGAGGCAAUUGUGGGGUCCACGUUAAUAGAAAAUGGUAGUCAUGUGGAUAUGGUAGAAUCUUGUGCAGCUUUUAAUGCAAGACCUAGUAAAAGUGAAAACUUUAACUUCGGGGUAGGUGAAGACCAUUUAUAUAUGGAAUACCCUGCUGUACUUUUUCAACCUCACAUCCUUUCAAUACCACACCUCCUUUCAAUACUACUACUGCAGAUGGUGCUACUGCAGAUGGUGCUACUACAGAUGGUGUUACUACACUAGAUGUUGGUCCUGCUGGACUUGAUAAGAGUCUUUAAGUUGUAGGAGUUGAUUAGGAAAAACUUUAAACUUCAUGUUGGCAAGACUACUGUGAGAAGAGCAAGAGCUAAAGUGGUGAAAGAUAUAAUGGGUGAUCAUAUUGUGGAAUUUGGAAGGAUAUUUGACUACAAGGAUGAAUUGUUGAGGACUGAUCCAGGGACCAGUUAUGUUGUAAAAGUUGGUGAACCUGAUGCAAAAAGCAAAUCAAUAUUUUAGAGUUUUUACAUUUGUUUUGAUGUUUAAAGAAGGCAUGGAUACAUUGUAUAAAGUGCAUAGGCUUAGAUGGUUGGGUUCUUAAAGGGGUUUGUAAAGGCCAACUGUUAGUUGUUGUGGCCAUUGUAUGGUAACAAUUAGAUGUUGUCACUUGCUUGGGUAGUAGUGAAAAAGGAGAACAAACACACAUGGACCAUGUUUGUGUAGUGCAUAAGGGAUGAUUUGGGACUUGGAGAUGGUGAAGGUCUCACAUUGAUUACAAACAUGCAAAAGGGAAUGUCAGUAGAAAUUACAAAUGUACUACCUAAGUGUGAACAUAGAAUAUAUGCUAGGCACAUAUUAGCUAAUUGGGCUAAGGAUUGGAGGGGUCUUUAAAGAAGACAACAAUUUUGAAAGAUAGCUAUGAGUACAUUUGAGUCUCAAUAAGAUAUCACAUAGAGAAGAUGAAGUUGUUAGAUCCAAAAAAAAUGAUGGAUAACUUAAUGACUACAUCAUUAAUUUUUGGUGCAAAAUUUACUUCAAUACUGAAGUAAAGUGUGAUUCUGUAGAGAACGACAUGUCUGAUUGUUUUAAUUCAUGGAUCUUGGCUGCUAGACACAAGACCAUAAUUACUAUGCUUGAUGAAAUAAGAGUGAAUAUGAUGACAAAAAUAGGCAGUUUAAGGGAGCUUCCUAGUACUUGGAAGUAUAAUUUCUCUCCAAUGUCUCUGAAGAUUUUAGAGGAGAACAUUAGUAGGUCUAUGGACUGUACAAUUGAAUUUGAUGGAGCUGCUGGAUUUGAAGUGAAAGAAGGGAUUUGUCAACACAAAGUGGAUAUUGCUAGGAGAACCUGUAGUUGUAUGGUGUGGAAGUUAAGGGGCAUACCAUGUGCACAUAAUGUAGCUGCAUUAUACUUUAAGAAAUUGUCUCUUUAUGACUAUAUACACAACUACUACAACAAGGAAAGUUACUUGAGGACUUAUGCCAUUGUUAUUGAACCACUGACAAACAUGGAGAUGUGACCAAUUUCUACUAACCCCACUGUUGAGCCCCCAAAAAUCACAAACAUGCUUGGUACGCCACCUAAGGCUAGAAGAAAAGAAGCUGGAGAAACUAAGAAAUCAGGGAAGCUUCCUAGGACUGGACGUGCAAUGACAUGCAAUUUAUGUGGUGUUAGAAAUCAUAACAAGGAGGGAAAAACCAACAAGUCAGGCAGGGAAGAGGCAAACCGAAGAAAACACCAUCAACACCAUCAGAAGGUGAGCAUUUAAAAAAGGGGAAGAGGAAGACCCAAAAAACAUCAUCAGUAGCAUCUAGUGCACCUCACCUACCUACUGCACCUACUGAUUUUCCUGCAUCCUCUUCUGCUCCUCCUACUUAUCAUGCAUCAUAUUCAAUAGCUGAUACUACUAAAAGAGGAAGAGGUAGGGGCAGGGGAAACACAUCUCCAGAUAAAAGACCAAGAGUCAUGGGAAUGGGUGUGUUCCAAGCUUCAAAUGGCUUCAAAGUCAUGAAUUCUGGCAUGCCAAAGUAGUAAAAUCUACUCUACUGGACAAGCAAGAGUGACAAGAUCAUCUGAUGUAACUGGUGACAUUGGUUAUACACCAAGUAAUACAACUAAUUAAGUUGAAAUAGAAUGCCAAAGCAGCAAUCUCAACAAGCAAGCUUCAUGAAUUUAGUGAGAAGCAAAGAAAGAAGACAAUGGGAAGUAGUUCAAGUCAAAAUGACACUUUUUCACAAUCAAAGAUGUCAUGAAAAUUAUAGUGAUAUUGAUGUAUUUAAGCACUUUUAAGUUAAUGGCCUGCUAUUUUGAAUUUUGUUGGUAAAUUUUGUCUUAUGUGAGGCCUUAUGAACAUGAGUUUUAUUUUGGUAAAUUCUGCCUUGUGUGAGGCGUUAUUUUGGUAAAAUUUGGCUUAUGUGAGGCCCUUAUGAAUGAAUGUUUAUGUUGUAUUUUAAAAUGGUUA